rnacentral:lncRNA from 1 species
UCAACAUAUAUAAAAAAAUGUGUGCUUUAAGGCAAAUAGAGAGGUUGAUAUCAACAUAUUUGAAAAAAGAGGUUGUCUGAAACAUGUUUUAUAAAGAAAAUAUUUUAAAGAAAGAAAAAAUCACUUAAAUAUAUUUAUUUAAAAAGACAUUGUAAUUUACUAUUUUUAAUGUUCUAUAUUUUUAUUAAUAUAGAACAUUAC